rnacentral:tRNA from 1 species
CGGGGUGUAGCGCAGCUUGGUUAGCGCGCCUGCUUUGGGAGCAGGAUGUCGGGAGUUCGAAUCUCUCCACCCCGACCA